ACCGCUGCACCCUUUCUUCUCUCAUUCAUCCACAUCUUGGCCCCAAAGAUGGCAUCUCUUUUUUAGUGCAAAUGUUUGGUGUUAUUCACCGAUCUCACAUCACAAAUGGGUCUGGCUAAUCAUUUAGGAGUAGACUAUAGCAUGUUGAUUGUUCAUGGCGUUUCAAGGGCUCAAUUGAGAAAGGCUAGUAGAUCUCAAACGUCUCAAUGAAACCCGUGAUUGGUGUUUUGUGAGGUGGAACAACCAUCCAAAAAUAAUGACAGACCAAUACCAUAUGGGUUUAACAAGCAACCACCUCUAGAUGUAAGUAGUUGGAACGGGUCUGUGUGAGCUACAUCUUCAGUUAACAAGACCUCCACCACCUUGCCCAGCUAAUGUUAAGGUUUCAUAUGAUAGUGAUGAUCUAUAUAUAUUAUCACCUAUAGCCUUUCGACAUGUACAUUCUGUUUUAUAUUGGUUGGAGCAACCAUCCAAAAACAAUGACAGACCAAUACUAUACGGGUUUUAAAAGCAACCACAUUUAGAUAUAAGUAGUUGGAAUGGGUCCGUGUAAGUUAACAGGACCUCCACCACCUUCCCAGCAAAUGUCCAGGUUUUCAGAUGAUUAUGAUUAUGAUGAUCUUUAUAUAUUAUUACAUAUAAACUUUCGAUAUGUACAUUUUCUUUUACAAAAUGAAAUAGAAAAUGAUUCA